rnacentral:rRNA from 1 species
AUUGAACGCUGGCGGCAGGCCUAACAGAUGCAAGUAGAGCGGAGCGGCGGACGGGUGAGUAAUGCCUAGGAAUAUGCAUGGGAGUGGGGGAUAACGUCCGGAAACGGGCGAUAAUACCGCAUACUAUCAGAUGAGCCUAGGUCGGCUUAGCUAGUUGGUGGGGUAAAGGCCUACCAAGGCGACGAUCCGUAACUGGUCUGAGAGGAUGAUCAGUCACACUGGAACUCAGACACGGUCCAGACUCCGUCGGGAGGCAGCAGUAGGUAAUAUUCGACAAUGGUCGAAAGCCUGAUCCAGCCAUGCCGCGUGUGUUAAGAAGGUCUUCGGAUUGUAAAGCUCUUUAAGUUGGUAGGCGUUACCAACCGAAUAAGCACCGGCUAACUUCGUGCCAGCAGCCGCGGUAAUUC